GACGAACCGUGCGAACGUUGUUCGGAAUCACUGGGCUUAAAGGGCGCGUAGGCGGCAGGUCAAGUCCGGGGGUGAAAGCCCCCCAGCUCAACUGGGGAAGGGCCUCGGAGACUGACGUGCUCGAGGGAGGUAGGGGGUCGGGGGAACUUCUGGUGGAGCGGUGAAAUGCGUUGAUAUCAGAAGGAACGCCGGUGGCGAAAGCGCCCGACUGGACCUGCAUCUGACGCUGAGGCGCGAAAGCUAGGGGAGCAAACGGG
rnacentral:rRNA from 1 species